rnacentral:rRNA from 1 species
GAGUUUGAUCAUGGCUCAGGAUGAACGCUAGCGGCAGGCUUAACACAUGCAAGGCGAGGGGUAUUCUAGCAAUAGGAGAGACCGGCGCACGGGUGCGUAACGCGUAUGCAAUCUACCUUUCACAGAGGGAUAGCCUAGAGAAAUUUGGAUUAAUACCUCAUAGUAUUAUGGAAUGGCAUCAUUUUAUAAUUAAAGUCACAACGGUGAAAGAUGAGCAUGCGUCCCAUUAGCUAGUUGGUAAGGUAACGGCUUACCAAGGCGACGAUGGGUAGGGGUCCUGAGAGGGAGAUCCCCCACACUGGUACUGAGACACGGACCAGACUCCUACGGGAGGCAGCAGUGAGGAAUAUUGGACAAUGGGCGCAA